UGCAGAGGGAAGUAGUUUGAGGAUUUUUAUAUACUGCUUCUUCUUCUUGUAACUUGAUUCAAACAGCAUUUUAUCCAAUAAUAUUACACCAUACAGGAAGAUUCAAAUAGACUUCUAGAAAUGAGAAACAAUCGGUAGGAGUUGUAACGUCUCCAAUAGUCCCACAUCGGAUGGGAUACUGAUUCCGAUCAGUUUAUAUGAGAUUUACACGCUAGUAUUAAUAACUGGGUUUAAGUAUUUUGGGCCGGUGGUUUGGCCCAACGAGUUAUUGUUGCAAGCGGAUCGGGUUGUUGCAAUUGGUAUUAGAGACGAAUACCAGCUGGAAGUGUGAGAUUCGCACUAUGCGGGACAAAGUACUACACCAAUGGGUUUGGUGGGAGCCACCUCUAGAAUCUACCAUUGCCUGGUAAUGGUUCUAGUCUGUCUAUCUGUGAUCUUGUUUGGACCCGACGAGGACGUUAGGGUCUAAACAGGGAGAAUUUGUCGAGUUAUUGUUGCUAACGGGUCGGGUCGUUGCAAAAGUAUCGACUGGAGUUGUAUUGUUCUAAAAUCUGUAUUUUAAUCAGACUUUUGAAACAAUCCGGAUUAACCAAAAUAAAUAAAAUUUUAUAGCGGAUCAUAAAAUCUGCUG
rnacentral:lncRNA from 1 species